UUCGGAAGAGAUAACCGCUGAAAGCAUCUAAGCGGGAAACUCGCCUUGAGAUGAGAUAUCCCCGGGGCUUCGAGCCCCUUGAAGGGUCGUUCAAGACCAGGACGUUGAUAGGUCAGGUGUGGAAGCGCAGUAAUGCGUUAAGCUAACUGAUACUAAUUGCCCGUAAGGCUUGAUCCUAUAACC
rnacentral:rRNA from 1 species